rnacentral:rRNA from 1 species
GACGAACGCUGGCGGCGUGCUUAACACAUGCAAGUCGAACGGAAAGGCCCUGCUUUUGUGGGGUGCUCGAGUGGCGAACGGGUGAGUAACACGUGAGUAACCUGCCCUUGACUUUGGGAUAACUUCAGGAAACUGGGGCUAAUACCGGGUAGGAGCUCCUGCUGCAUGGUGGGGGUUGGAAAGUUUCGGCGGUUGGGGAUGGACUCGCGGCUUAUGAGCUGGUUGGUGGGGUAGUGGCUUACCAAGGCUUAGACGGGUAGCCGGCCUGAGAGGGUGACCGGCCACAUUGGGACUGAGAUACGGCCCAGACUCCUACGGGAGGCAGCAGUGGAGAGUAUUGCACAAUGGGCGGAAGCCUGAUGCAGAAACGCCGCGUGCGGGAUGACGUCCUUCGGGUUGUAAACCGCUUUCGCCGGUGACGAAGCGUGAGUGACGGUAAUGGGUAAAGAAGCACCGGCUAACUACGUG